rnacentral:rRNA from 1 species
UUCUUCUUGAGAGCGGCGGACGGGUGAGUAAUGCCUAGGAAUCUGCCUGGUAGUGGGGGACAACGUUUCGAAAGGAACGCUAAUACCGCAUACGUCCUACGGGAGAAAGUGGGGGAUCUUCGGACCUCACGCUAUCAGAUGAGCCUAGGUCGGAUUAGCUUGUAGGUGAGGUAAUGGCUCACCUAGGCAACGAUCCGUAACUGGUCUGAGAGGAUGAUCAGUCACACUGGAACUGAGACACGGUCCAGACUCCUACGGGAGGCAGCAGUGGGGAAUAUUGGACAAUGGGCGAAAGCCUGAUCCAGCCAUGCCGCGUGUGUGAAGAAGGUCUUCGGAUUGUAAAGCACUUUAAGUUGGGAGGAAGGGUUGUAGCUUAAUACGCUGCAACUUUGACGUUACCAACAGAAUAAGCACCGGCUAACUCUGUGCCAGCAGCCGCGGUAAUACAGAGGGUGCAAGCGUUAAUCGGAAUUACUGGGCGUAAAGCGCGCGUAGGCGGCUUGAUAAGAUGGGUGUGAAAUCCCCGGGCUUAACCUGGGAACUGCAUCCAUAACUGUCUGGCUAGAGUACAGUAGAGGGUGGUGGAAUUUCCUGUGUAGCGGUGAAAUGCGUAGAUAUAGGAAGGAACACCAGUGGCGAA